UAAUCCAAAAAUGAUACGACCAUAAACGUGUAUACAUAUUAUUACAUAAUCUGAUUAAUGUCCAUGUGGAAUCUAGUGAAGAUAUUUGGCUGUUGCACUGUAAGGAGGCCAAGCCGCUUUCUCCAUUCUCUGCAAAAAAAAAGAAGAAAAAAGAGCUCCAAGAUGCAGAGUUUUAUCAGUUUUCUUCUGCUUUCUCUCCUCGCUUCAUCGUCGUUUUCCGGCGCAGAAAUUACACGGAGAAUAGGAGUAUGCUAUGGACAACUGGGGAAUAAUCUGCCCAGUCCAGCAAAAUCUGUGGAGCUCCUCAAUGGAUUAAAGGCUAAGAGGGUUAAGAUCUACGAUGCCAAUCCGAAAAUCCUGAAAUCCCUGCAAAGUUCUCAGCUUCAAGUCUCGAUCAUGGUCCCCAAUGGCCUCAUCCCCAACAUUUCCUCCAAUCAAACAUUAGCAGACCAGUGGGUACGCAUCAAUGUUGUCCCCUUCUACCCCAAAACCAUGAUCCGUUACCUCCUAGUCGGCAAUGAAAUCCUGAGCAACCAACCUAACACUACCUGGUUCCAGCUCGUACCGGCCAUGCGUAAAAUCCGGCGAUCUCUCCGGAAAUUCCGGCUCCGGAAGAUCAAAGUGGGGACUCCUUUGGCUAUGGACAUGUUAGAGUCUUCAUUCCCGCCUUCCAAUGGAAGUUUCCGGUCCGAUCUUUCCGCCCGAGUUUUCCGGCCUCUGUUACAAUUUUUGAAUCAUUCUAGAUCCUUCUUCUUCUUCGAUGUCUACCCGUAUUUCGCUUGGGCAGCUCAGCCUAAAGCUAUUAGCCUUGAGUAUGCUCUAAUGGAGCCCACUAAUGUCACUUAUUCGGACCCGGGUUCGGGUUUCACGUACACGAAUUUAUUGGAUCAAAUGAUCGAUGCGGUUCAUUUUGCGAUGAAGCGACUAGGGUUCCCGAAUCUCCGUCUCUUUAUUGCGGAAACGGGUUGGCCCAAUUCCGGCGACGCCGAUCAAAUCGGAGCGAAUAUUUACAAUUCCGCCACGUAUAAUCGCAACGUGGUUAGGAAAUUCACCGCCAAGCCUGCGGCGGGGACGCCGGCGAGGCCAGGCGCGGUGGUUCCGACGAUGAUUUUCGCGUUGUAUAACGAGAACCAGAAGCCCGGGCCGGGAACGGAGCGGCAUUUCGGGCUGUUACACCCCAACGGCACCAACGUGUACGAGAUUGACCUGUCGGGGAAGACGCCGGAGUCGGAAUUCAAGCCGCUGCCGAAGCCGACGAACGAUAUUCCGCCGGAAGGGAAAUUCUGGUGCGUGGUGGCGCCGGCGGCCAAUAAGACGGCGGUGAUUGACGCCUUGAGUUAUGCAUGCGGGCAGGGUAAAGGGACCUGUGACCCGAUUCAACCCGGUGGGAAAUGUUAUCAGCCUAAUAAUCUGGUCCCACAUGCCAGCUAUGCUUUUAGUUCUUACUGGGCCCAGUUUAAUAGCAUAGGUGGGACCUGCUACUUCAAUGGCCUUGCUAUCAAGACUACAAAGGACCCUAGAAUCAGAGAUAGGAAUGUGAAUGACAGCUGGAAAAAAGUCAACUUUGUGAGUUGAGGCAUGGCUGGGAAGCUUAUAUAUGCUGUUGUGCAGUAUAGCAGCUGAGGAAGUAGAGUUGCUAGCUUGUUGAAGGAUGUUUGAAGUUUGAUCUUGCUGAAACUGGAAGCAGUAAGUGCAAAGCCAAUUUGAUCUGAAGAUUCAGAAAAGCUUUUCUUUGUCCUUUGAUUCCUAGGAGAUUCCCUUGUAUACCUACCUGG